rnacentral:rRNA from 1 species
AUAUCAUUGAGCGGAGGACAAGAAAACAACUGUGAUUCCCCGAGUAACUGCGAGUGAAUAGGGAAGAGCCUAUGCUUGAAUCCGGCGUGGAUGGAAUCGGAAGCGCUGGAAUUGUAGUGCAAGGGUGUCGAGGGAGGUGAGCCAGUCGAACGAAUCGCUCAGGAACGAGCAACCAAGGAGGGCUAUCGUCCCGUCCCGUUCGACGCGGCCGUCUCAUAUCCUCAACUCCCCAAGAGUCGGC